UCUCCGACUACCAAAGCAUCGAUCAGAAAUUUCGUCAGAGAAGAAGGCGUUUGAUCAACAGCAAUCAAUUCGGCCGGUGAGAUGCAUCUUGAUUCAAACCUGAAACCCCCCCAAAUCAAUGCAUUCUUUAUGCCAAGUGGAAUUGACUGCUUCAUAAUCAUUUACCAAUCCCCCAAAACAAAAGCUGCGAUGAACAUUGCUACGCAAGGACAUGCCGGGAAAAAGGACUCAUUGACCUCUAGCGAAGAUGGGAAAUGGUGAUGAGAAAUUGGAGAUUGACGCUGUCUCGACAUGAACUUUAGUACGGGGCUACGGCGACAGUGGGCAUCCAGUACACCCGUGCACGGGAGUAAACUGUUGCAACUCAAGUUAGGUUUUUUUUCGACAAUAAACAUCUCGUGGAUUGAGAGUUCAGAUUGGUUUCUUGCA